GAUGAACGCUGGCGGCGUGCCUAAUACAUGCAAGUCGAGCGAACAGACGAGGAGCUUGCUCCUCUGACGUUAGCGGCGGACGGGUGAGUAACACGUGGAUAACCUACCUAUAAGACUGGGAUAACUUCGGGAAACCGGAGCUAAUACCGGAUAAUAUAUUGAACCGCAUGGUUCAAUAGUGAAAGACGGUUUUGCUGUCACUUAUGGAUGGAUCCGCGCCGCAUUAGCUAGUUGGUAAGGUAACGGCUUACCAAGGCAACGAUGCGUAGCCGACCUGAGAGGGUGAUCGGCCACACUGGAACUGAGACACGGUCCAGACUCCUACGGGAGGCAGCAGUAGGGAAUCUUCCGCAAUGGGCGAAAGCCUGACGGAGCAACGCCGCGUGAAUGAUGAAGGUCUUCGGAUCGUAAAACUCUGUUAUUAGGGAAGAACAAAUGUGUAAGUAACUAUGCACGUCUUGACGGUACCUAAUCAGAAAGCCACGGCUAACUACGUG
rnacentral:rRNA from 1 species